rnacentral:rRNA from 1 species
CAGGCCUAACACAUGCAAGUCGAACGGAGCCGCAAGGCUUAGUGGCAAACGGGUGCGUAACGCGUAAGCAACCUGCCCUCAACUGGGGGAUAGCCCGGCGAAAGCUGGGGUAAGCCCGCACGGUCCUUGUCUUUCACCUGGGAGAUUAGGUAAACAUUUAUGGGUUGAGGAGGGGCUUGCGUCUGAUUAGUUAGUUGGCGGGGUAACGGCCCACCAAGGCGAUGAUCAGUAGGGGUUCUGAGAGGAUUGGCCCCCACAUGGGUACUGAGAUACGGACCCAACUCCUACGGGAGGCAGCAGUAGGGAAUAUUGGGCAAUGGGCGAGAGCCUGACCCAGCCAUGCCGCGUGCAGGAUGAAGGCGCUCAGCGUUGUAAACUGCUUUUACUCAUGAAGAACGGCAGUCCCGCGGGAUUGUGUGACGGUAAUGAGGGAAUAAGCACCGGCUAACUCCGUGCCAGCAGCCGCGGUAAU